ensembl:lncRNA
AUGCUCCUAGUCUUACAGGAGUUAGAGAGACAGGAAAGGAUAGCUCUAUUAUAGAAAUAUCUGCAUAUUCUAGGAAUGUAAGUUAAGAAGAUAUUAUGUCUUUCUAAGUUAGCAACCAGCAGAAAUGCACAGAGAUGUUCUUUUGGUUGUAUAAGGAGCUUUAUGGGUCAGGAUUCGAGAGAGAACACAGGAGUGCAUUGAUGAGAACUUGUCCAAGUGGAUGAAGAGAGGUGCUCUGCAGGACUCUGUGCUCACCAACAGAGAGGUGCUCCCUGGGAAUGUAAGCCUCAAAGCUUUGCAACACCUGCGUGCAGCCAUGCCUAAUCGAAUCUCGUAGAACGGGGGAGAGGCGGAGGGAAGGCGCGCGUCCCGCCCCCUCACACGAGCCACGCCCCAACAUGGCGGCGCCCGCGGAUUGCCGCCAACGCCCU